rnacentral:rRNA from 1 species
AGAGUUUGAUCCUGGCUCAGGACGAACGCUGGCGGCGUGCUUAACACAUGCAAGUCACGGGGGCCCGCAAGGGUAACCGGCGAACGGGUGCGUAACACGUGAGCAAUCUGCCGUCCACUGGGGGAUAGCCGGCCCAACGGCCGGGUAAUACCGCAUACGCUUGCCGGGUGGCAUCACUUGGCAAGGAAACCCCCGGGGGUGGACGAGGAGCUCGCGGCCUAUCAGCUAGUUGGUGGGGUCACGGCCCACCAAGGCGAUGACGGGUAGCUGGUCUGAGAGGAUGGCCAGCCACAUUGGGACUGAGAUACGGCCCAGACUCCUACGGGAGGCAGCAGUGGGGAAUAUUGCGCAAUGGCCGCAAGGCUGACGCAGCGACGCCGCGUGGGGGAUGAAGCAUUUCGGUGUGUAAACCCCUGUUGCCCGGGACGAACCUCUCCUUUCGAGGAGACUGACGGUACCGGGUGAGGAAGCACCGGCUAACUCCGUGCCAGCAGCCGCGGUAAUACGGAGGGUGCGAGCGUUGUCCGGAAUCACUGGGCGUAAAGGGCGCGUAGGCGGUGACUUAAGCGUGUGGUGAAAGCCCGGGGCUCAACCCCGGGUCGGCCGUGCGAACUGGGUCACCCGAGCACUGUAGAGGCAGGUGGAAUUCCGGGUGUAGCGGUGGAAUGCGUAGAGAUCCGGAAGAACACCAGUGGCGAAGGCGGCCUGCUGGGCAGUAGCUGACGCUGAGGCACGACAGCGUGGGGAGCAAACAGGAUUAGAUACCCUGGUAGUCCACGCCGUAAACGAUGGGCACUAGG